rnacentral:piRNA from 1 species
UGGGCAGAUCUAGUUAAUGCUGUGGACUA